GAUGAACGCUAGCGGCAGGCCUAACACAUGCAAGUCGAGGGAGGAGCCUUCGGGCUUCGACCGGCGUACGGGUGCGUAACGCGUAUACAAUCUGCCUUUCACAUAGGGAUAGCCCGAAGAAAUUUGGAUUAAUACCUAAUGGUAUAUAGAUGUGGCAUCACAUUUAUAUUAAAGCUGAGGCGGUGAAAGAUGAGUAUGCGUUCUAUUAGCUAGUUGGAGAGGUAACGGCUCCCCAAGGCGACGAUAGAUAGGGGUUCUGAGAGGGAUAUCCCCCACACUGGUACUGAGAUACGGACCAGACUCCUACGGGAGGCAGCAGUGAGGAAUAUUGGACAAUGGUCGGAAGACUGAUCCAGCCAUGCCGCGUGCAGGAAGACGGCCUUAUGGGUUGUAAACUGCUUUUGCAGGGGAAGAAUAAGGACUACGAGUAGUUUGAUGACG
rnacentral:rRNA from 1 species